ensembl:lncRNA
GUGCUUUUACUUUUUAAAAUUUAGUUGAGAUGAAACUCUUUCCUGUCUAUGUAAAUUACAUAUUUUGGUAGAAUUGUUUUUGUUGUUUGUUUGUUUUUUGUUUUUUUACUUAUAAGUGAUUCUCUUAGUGCGGCACCUUUCUCUAAGUGCUUUCUCGUUCGUUCGUUUGUUUGUUUUGGGGGCGGCGUGUUUUAUAACUAAAGUUUGAAGAGGAAAAAAACAGCGGUUUGUUUACUUCCUAUAUGAACGGGGACCGCCCACAGACUGCCUGAAUGAUUUCCGUAUGAUUAGUUUAGUUUUUUAUUGGAAAAAACCCCCGACAUCAAUCAGCUAUUUAAACGAACCAUGUUUACUUUAAUGUAAAAUCGCAACCUUAAAAAUCUAACCGAAUAAACAACUGUCGGUUAAGGUGCCUCGCAGCAGUCUCGGCUCCUCCGCUAAUCCGGAAAACUCCGGAAAGUUCUGGAGCCGGUAAAGAAGUUUGACCGGAACCGGCGCGCUCACUCAGAGUAGUUUUCACCGUGAUCGUGUUGGCGGUACGUGGCUGAGAGCUCGUGAGUAACAAUCGGAAAACCUUGAAAAGAUAAACAUUCACCGGCUCCUCUGUUUUUACUGACACAUUGAACGUGGCCGUCGAUGUUUACCGUGUUAUUUACCAUUAAUCUGUAAAGCGCUAACGUUUAAACGGGUUCACGGUACGAGCUGGUACAGCAACGUCACAUCAUUUUCUGCCGUAGUGUAAAACGACGGUAAACAAACGGAUAUUUCAGUAAAUCUUUACUGUACAAUGUAAACUAACUGGACUCCGUGACUUUAAUCCUGCGUCUAUUCCCUCCUCAUUCUUUGCUGCUUUAGGUAAAGCGGAAAUGGCUGUUCUAACGUUUUCGUGGCCCUGCUGGAUUUCGAUGCUCGUUGUCGUCGCCAUCGCGUCCACUUUCGCCGGUGAGAUUUCGCCUUGGCGCCGAACCGAACCGUGUUUUGCUAUUCAUAACAUCACUGAACACUCCAAAACAAAUCACCCCCGCUGACUGUGAAAACGUCAUUAUGUGUGAUUAAGUAUUCGAAGCCUUUUAUUGGUUAAAAAAUGUUCCAAAAUCUCAAAGUUGUGGCGACGUCAGGUCAUCGUAGAUGGCGCAUUGGUCGGAGGUUUGGGAGCCGUUGAAUGGAAGAGUCGCGAGUUUAAACAUGAAGACUUGAGAUAGUUCCCUGCGGUGCUUACUUGUCAAACAUAUUGAGCCACAAACAACGUUCCUGUCAAAUGGGAGAAGCUGCUAUCAAUUUUCUGCUAAGAACUUUAAUAGACAUACAAAAAACGCCUUUCAAGAGUGCCAGUAUAUAACAUUUCUUUCAUUUUGUUAAGAUGUUUUAAUAGGGUAAAAAAGACGCAGGCACAAAUAUGCUUGCAAACAGGGCCGCCUCCAGACAUUUUCUUAGCCAUAUGGGGGCUCGUCCUAAGGCGACUAUUGUUGUGAUUUGGCGAUAUAUAAAUGAAAUUGAAUUGAACUGAACUGAAUAAGAAAACCCGAUAAGAUUUUGAAAUCCAUAAUAAAAUCCUCUCUCUUGUGCUCAGUCUGCCAUCGCUGUAAAAAACAAAACUGAUCCAUUGGAGUGAAUAGCGAUGACGCGACUGAUGCGUUGUAGUGUAUCAAAUCCCCCCACGGCCGAAAGAGUAGGAGGGCCGCCUCUUCAACGUCACACUGGAUGCUCAUAUUCACAGAAUUCCGGUAAACUAGGCGCCACAUGAGUUCUACUGAUAUGCCCAAAUAUCAAACUGCAAUAUUUACUUGGGGAGUUUACGCUCCACUGAUUAAAAAGGCAUUUUUGAAAUGUUUUUGGGAAAUGCAUCACUUGAACCUAUGCAACUCUGCAAAAGCGGAGCUCUGAGGAAAAUGAGUGUUAGGGACACACUAAGAAGAAGAAAAAUAUUUUCAUUUUGAAGGGUUUUUUUUAGAUCUUUGGGUUUGUCAACCAAAAAAAAUAAACAAACAAACAAACAAAAAACUGGUGCUCCAGAGUGGAAGGAGAGCAGACAGGAGGAUGAGUACACCCCCCAGGACUUGGGAUUUGGACAUUGAAGCCAAUGGUGGGUGUGAAACAUGAAGAUGUCAUGGGCCAGACAAAGACAGCUGAAUCUGGAAAGGACGUCACUCUGCCAUGUCAAGCUCCACACAACAACUGGAUAGGUGUAAAGUGGCGCAAAGCUGACCUGGGGGAAGAAUAUGUCUAUUUGAACCGCAGAGGGCAACCUCAGCCACAAGGGCAGCAUCCAUCUUUUAAGAACUGGGUGGAUCUGCAGGACAGACAGAUGAAAUAUGGAGACCUGUCUUUGACCCUUAAGAAUGUCACGAGGAAUAACACUGGAACAUACGAGUGUCUUGUCUUCGAGGAAGAAACAGACUCGUGGAAAUCACUGAGCAACAUCAGCCUGACUGUUGUUGAUCCUCCAGGUCACACAGGAGGACACACAGAGGAUGGAUCUGUUGGACUCAUAGUUGGACUGACAGUUUGUACUUUGUUGCUCUUUGCAGUCAUUGCUGGGAUAAUUUAUAAAUUCGUUACAUGCAAGGAGAAGAAUUCUCAUGACCUUCCUGCUUCAGAAGUUUGUCUGAAGAAAACCAUUUUUUCCUUUAACCCCGUGUAACGGAAAGAGACGGAGACAGAUUGUUUUAUUUUUUCAUGAAUACAUGAACUGCACUCUGGGUUUGGACCCCUGAACAUCAGACAAACCAGAGUUUCCCACAGCAUCAUCCUGUCAUUAAGAUGAUGACCACAGCAGCAUGAUGGACACAUCUCCGAGUUCCUGUAACUUCAACUUUUAGUGUGGAUAAAACACAUGAUCAACGGGGCGUGGAGAGAGCUUAACUUUCCUGGUACAAUUAUAAACUGUAUAAAUGAAGGACUUGGACACGGUGACACCAACCUUUGGCUAGACUCCACAUUUUAAAGCCUCCGUGUGUGGGUUGAUAAGUUUAUCUCCAGCAUCCAGGUGGAUGUUAAAAAAGAAAAUCACCCCUGUAGAGUUUGUAUAAAGUAAGAAACUGUCAACAGAGAAUGAACCUGUUUUUAUACCUGUGCAAAGGUGGACAUUUGAACAUGUAUGUACUUAUUUAUGGAGAAAUCUAGUCAUGAAAUCUGUUGUGCAGUAUUUAAGAUGCUAAAAACAUGCUAAUAUAUGAAAUUUGUUUUUUUAAUGAAAUUAUUUGUUUUUACAUGUUGUUUAAUUGUGUUAAUGAUUGAAGUAAAUAUUUGUUUUUUUUCUCAUGUAUUUGUCUUGUUUUUUAAAAUGUUAGAGUCUGUGUGAUGCUAUAUAUUUGCAUCAUAACCAUAAGUGUGACUAUUUAAUGUGAACUCUGCUGGUUCGGUCUCCCACAGCAGACAGGCUUUAAUUUUGAGGAUUGAUGAAGGAGGCAGGUUUUCUUUGAAUCCUUCUGUCAAGUCAGAUUUUCUAACGUCCUAUAUCGUACGGUUGAUAUCGGAGCUCUAAUCUACACAAGUGUGGGUCUUUACAGACACUGAAGUCUGUUAGGUAAGAGUUCAUUAUUUUUGUAAUAAAAUAUACUCAUCUGAAUGAGGACAGAGGCAGCGAUCACUGGAUUUAUCAGCUAAAAAUUGUUUCUCUGACUAUUACAGGAUGUUACUGUUGUUCAUGAGGGUUUACCCCAUCCUGAACCCUGUACAAUCACAAUAUGUAUCUUUAUAUAUUUAUUUAAUUGUUAAAAUCUAAUCAGGGAACAAAGAAAAUAAUCAUUCUAACUGACACAUGAAAACUUUAUGACAUUCUUACUCAAAAGUCCAUUUUGGCUUUGUCCAAAAUCCAGAGUUAUUGUUGAUAACUUGAAAAUGUAAGCUAGGUAGGUACUGAUUAC